rnacentral:rRNA from 1 species
CGCUGACGAGUGGCGGACGGGUGAGUAAUGCAUAGGAAUCUGCCCAGUAGCGGGGGAUAACUUAGGGAAACUUAAGCUAAUACCGCAUACGCCCUACGGGGGAAAGCAGGGGAUCGUAAGACCUUGCGUUAAUGGAGCGGCCGAUAUCUGAUUAGCUUGUUGGUGAGGUAAAGGCUCACCAAGGCGACGAUCAGUAGCUGGUUUGAGAGAACGACCAGCCACACUGGAACUGAGACACGGUCCAGACUCC